UGCGUAGGCGGAUUAUUAAGUCAGUGGUGAAAGUCUUCAGCUUAACUGAAGCAGUGCCAUUGAUACUGGUAGUCUUGAGUACAGUAGAGGUAGGCGGAAUUUAUGGUGUAGCGGUGAAAUGCAUAGAUACCAUAAAGAACACCGAUAGCGUAGGCAGCUUACUAUACUGUAACUGACGCUGAGGCACGAAAGCGUGGGGAGCGAACAGGAUUAGAUACCCUGGUAGUCC
rnacentral:rRNA from 1 species